rnacentral:rRNA from 1 species
AACGAACGCUGGCGGCAUGCCUAACACAUGCAAGUCGAACGAGACCUUCGGGUCUAGUGGCGCACGGCUGCGUAACGCGUGGGAACCUGCCCUUAGGUUCGGAAUAACUCCCCGAAAGGGGUGCUAAUACCGGAUAAUGUCUUCGGACCAAAGAUUUAUCGCCUUUGGAUGGGCCCGCGUUGGAUUAGCUGGUUGGUAGGGUAAAAGCCUACCAAGGCGACGAUCCAUAGCUGGUCUGUGAGGAGGACCAGCCACACUGGGACUGAGACACGGCCCAGACUCCUACGGGAGGCAGCAGUGGGGAAUAUUGGACAAUGGGCGAAAGCCUGAUCCAGCAAUGCCGCGUGAGUGAUGAAGGCCUUAGGGUUGUAAAGCUCUUUUACCCGGGAUGAUAAUGACAGUACCGGGAGAAUAAGCUCCGGCUAACUCCGUG